ensembl:lncRNA
CGAGUACCGAGCUGCUGGCUGGCUCUCCGGCGCUGCAGGCGCGGAGGCGCAGCGCCUCUGGGGGCGCAGCGGGAGCCGCCCUCCCAGUGCACCGCGCACUUCCCCGGCUCGUGCUGCCCUGCGCCUCUGUACCGACCCUUUCCCGAAGUUGCAAGCCGUGCAAAUGGCCCUGUGGAGGCACUAGGCCGGGAAAAGAGGCUGCUGGAGGAAGAACGUAGGUGGGAGGUGGGCGGGCGACUUGCUUCUCAGAUUCGUCCCAAUUAGCGCCAAGUUGGCAGACAACCCUACAAACCCUUUGGUUGCCCAAAGUCACAUUCUCCGUAUUUUAAAAUAAUCUGAUAGUGAAACUUCAACUCCCCUCGUAAGUCAAAGAGGGACAGACUUUUAGCACCUCUGCCUCGCAGUAACACGACACAGAACAGACCCAGGUGAUCCUCAACUGCAGAGCUCUUCCCCAAGUUGGCAUCUCUCUGAGUCCGGCGGAGAGAAGCUGGGAUGGCCCCGCAGAGAGCCCCCUGCCGGAGGGGCGGAGGGCGUGCAGAGCGUGGCGACCGAAGCGGAUUAUUGUGGGACUGCACAAACGCAGACCCAUCCGAGGAGUUUUGCCAGGAACACCACCGCCUGCAUUGCGUCGGACCUGACCAUUUACAAUGUGAAAUUCCCGGGGAAGGUCGUGGCUAGGGACUGUGCGUGUGCGUGGCUGUGGACCAUAAGGGUGGUAGAAUUGGUGGUCGGCUUUUCUAGCAAGAGAAGGAAAAAGCUGUGCUGGCAAGGGUGGGAACUGAAUGACAACCCCCCUCUGCCAAGCCACCCCCUCAUAUUUUCCAUCUACCUCCUCGCUCCUGCCCUCCUCCGCCCUCCCCAACCCACGCCCGGGUGGGCCAAUCGCUGCUCCGCAUUCCAGGCGCUUUCUCAGGUUUCUGCUGAUCUUGCAGCGCCCAGAAAUGGACCGAGCGGACCCGCCGCCGCACGCACCCUGCCCCACUCGGAGCUCCUAACGGCUCCGGACGCGCAGCGGAGCCUCGGCGAGGUCCACGCUGGGCUACGGAAUCCGAGGGGACCCGAGAGCCAUGUAGACCCAGGCUCUUGCUCGCCCGCCUCUUUCGGGAUCGAAUCAAGGGCUCCCGUAGUGUUAGGAGGGGGCGAGAGUGCUGUUUAUCAUCAUUUGCUUCAGAGCUUCGGGAGAGGGUGGCAUUUUGCUUUUCCGCCCCGCAUCCUCCGGAACUCCCUGCACCAGAGAGAGGACAGCGUCUCUAGGUUGCUGGCAACCGGUGAGAAUGGGGGUAGGGAAUGGAUAUUUCCGCCGUAGCUGCUCAGUAAAGCGACUGUCCACCUGAACGGCCGCAGGACGAGGGGGUGAGGGCGGCGAGUUUGCCCCGGCGCCUCUCGGAUGCGGCUGCGGCGGCGGUCGCGGCUCCCGCCCCGGUACUGCAAAGGCGACCUGCCGCAUUCCGACUCGGGCUCUCCGCCGACUCAGCACCGCCCCUGCGCCAAGCCGACCGGCCAGGCUUUCUGAAAGGCGAGGAAAGACCAUUUCAAUGGAGAGUAGGAGGUAUGAGUGGCAAGAGGGAGAGAGAGAAGUGUGAUAAAUGAGAACAGUGUGUCUGACUCAGCCUCCCCUUGGCCACUAACUGUCUGUGUCACCCUGGGCAUGACCUGCCCCCUGUGGGCCUGUACUGGACACGAGAGACUUGGAUGAGGUCUCACCUAGCCUAGGCGUUCUAGAAUUAUGAGCUUCCACAAUCGAGGCAGAAGAAGAGGGAGCAAACCCUUGGGUGCUGCUUACUAUGAAUGACCAAUCUAAGAAAUCCUGAGGAUAAGAAUCGCUUUGAUAUAAUAACUAAAAUGUCCUGUCAUUCUCCUCUUGGCCUCGCUCAAAGUGUGUUUUUCUAGUUCCAAUGACUUUCAACCUUCCAUCCUGGCCUGUGGUGGGUGGCUCCUCUGUGGACAGGCUGCAUGUCCGUGCUAAAUGCCAGAGUUUCCAGAGCUAUCGGCAAGCAGGCGUUUCCUGUCGCGUGGAUGAAGCUGCAGAGGAGAAGUGAUCUGCUCAGGUCCCAAGCUAGUUGGUGGCCUGGCCCUGUGGGUGACGGUCACUGCAUCCAUCACUGAGUCCAAGCCAGGCCUGGCCGGCUGGUGUGCGUGCAGGCCCUCGUGUGCUUUGAUUUUGGGAGGAGGGCUGAGCAGAGCUGGUAUGCCUCCCAGGUGGUCCCAUGGCCAGGCAAACGUGCUCGUCCCUGGGAGCUGGCUCUCCAGAACACAGCUCCCAGGUGGCAAUGUUGCUGAGGGCAUCCCCACCGCUCUCCAUGCCGAGCCACACUGCCCCGAGGCCUUGCUCCAAGGGCACCAGAGGCAUGUGUCUUGUCUGGAGGCUGGCCCUCACUCACCCUUCACCUCUGGUGAGGACACUCAGGCCAUUAGGCCGGUACCUGUGGCCCUCCCCACCAUUCUGGGAGAAGGAGCAUCCUGGCGGUGGUCUGAAGGCCAAGGGCGCCUAGGAAACAGAAUUCCUUCUACCUGCAUCUAGCUCCUCCUUCCUCUCUUGCUGGUUGCCCCACCAGAAGCCACCUGGAACUCGGCUCAGCUCUCUAACUGGCUACAGAAUGCACAGACUGAAAGAGACUUUGAAGAUCAUCUUAAUUCCUUACCCAAGAGAAGACGCAGACCCUUCAAUGACCACAGCCUCUGAGGGCAGAGGAGGACAAGCUGUCGCCCUUGAGUGGCUGGACUCCUGUCCCUGUGGCUGCGGCUGCGCCUGCCUCUUCAGUCCUCUCCCAUUUGCAUUCUCUUCCUCUCUUCCCUCCAUCCAGGCAGAGAGUCCUCUGGCUCCCCUUGAAGAGGCAGGAGGAGGAGGGUCACAGCAUUGUCACACUCCAGAGCAAGAAUGGCUCGUGUUUCCAGGUGCCCCUGACAACUACUUGUCAAAAAUGAGCCAGCAUACCUCCAGCUCCUCCAUCCAGCCAACAUUUAUCAAGCACCUACUACGUGCUGGGCACUUCCCCCUCCUGAAAAUGCACCUGCUCACAGCAGGCCUCUGAUUCUUGUCCACGCGGGAGUGAGGUGCAGCCCCGGAAGGCAGGGCACAUGCGUGCCCCUGCCCCUCCGAGUGACGGUGCCGUGCCGGGCAAAGCUCGUGGGUGCGCCCUCCCAUGCUUCCUCCUCGGCCCCAGCUAAUUAGGCAGAAUAGUGCUGUGGCGUGCUUGCAAGUGUGAGCAGGAGAACAUUUCGGGAACUUCGAGUGCCUUGGAAAAAGGCGCAUCCGCCUGCAGAACGCUUCCUGCAAUUGCAGCAGAGGGAGGCGAAUUGUGUCGGCUUGAGCUGGUUCAGAGCAGACGCUGCUGGUAAAGAAGUGCGAUGCCUUCUCCGGGAGAGAGACGGCUGUCGCUCAGCUGGUGGAGAGGACUGGGAUCCCUGCACUCUGGCUCCGCCCACUGUGAGCCCCUAGUAGGGAGGGCGAGGUGGAGACACGGAGCGCCUCCUCCACGUGCCUCCUGGGGACACGAACCUGGCUGCCAGCACCAGAGGCAGCGGCAGAGGAGUGAGCACGCUGUGGGUUCAGGCGCCCUGCCGUCCUCUCCUCCAAGGAUCCACAGCUUUAUGGCCACGGGGCCUUCGCCUUGCAGAGCCUCACCCUAACCUAGAGGUCAUCUCCAGCUAUCAAGGGAAGACACGUACCGACAGGAGCCUUCGUAUGACUUGGCGCCUGCAUUCUGCGCAUGCGCCGAUCUCCCGUCCAUCGGGGGCUGGCUGCUCCGGCCCAGGGACGCGCCUUACUGGUGGUCCCCCCACGGGCAGAGCACCCGGCCUCCGCUGAGCCCCCCUUAGCUCCUGUUGGCUGGAAUCAAAAUGAGUAAGGGGCUGAGGAGGAAAGAAAACAGGAAAAGGCUUAGGAUUUAUCCCGUAGAAAAACUACGUUAGUCCUUACAGAAAACUUUGAAAAGGAGCAGAGUUUACAUCAUCUUUUUCGGCCUGCAGUCUUAUUUUUUUCCCAUGCCCUGCCCUUUCCCAGGCCCGAGGGGAGCAGGCUAACUCAUCCCUUGGAGAGCUGGGUGGAGGGUGGUGGAGUCGCUGCCCCACUGCUGGUGUUCGUCAACCCUGGAGUUCCAUUGCCGCCUCCACACCGCCAGAGUUUGCUCCUUCUCCAAAGCCCUGGGCUCCUCAUGAUGGGCUUCCUCACGAUGGGCGGUCUCAGGGGUAGGGGUGGGAAUGGCCGAAACGUUGAAGCCAGGCCGGCCUGUGUUUGAGUCUCGGCUCAGUCACAUACCAGCCAUGUGACUUUGGGCAAGCUAACCACUCAGUCCCCUCAUCUGCAAACUUGGAAUAAUAGGACCCACCUCCCGGAAGUACCUUGAGGAUCAACUGAGAUGAGGCGCAUUAACAAGCACCCAGGACCACAAUCGGCCUUCACCUCAAACACACCCAUGCGCUCACGGAAGACACUCCUCCUCUCUCUCAGCCCCUCCGAGCGGCUUCUACUCGUCAGCAGUCUUCCGGUUUGCAACAUCUGCCUUCUUUACUUUGGGGAGUGGGGUGCAGGAAGCGGGCGCCACGCCUGUCUCCCCAAAGGUGACAUUGCUUGGGAUCAGAACAUAGAGGUGCUCCGAGCCCUCAGUUUGGGGCUCCCCACCACAGGGGCAGCGGAGGAAGGGAGGCCGACUCCAGUUCCACUCCUUGCACCCCGGGUGAGGCCACAGGGCUUGCGUUUUCUGCCCUUCUCCGCCUGGUUCCUCUGUCGCACUCUCUGAAGUAGACCAUCUGGGCAGAGCCAUUCACAGUCCUGCUCCGCGGGGAAGCCCGAGGUGCCUCUGCGGCCGAACAGUGGGCUCACAGCCCGGGCUGAAUCCUCGGGACGCGCCAGCCCUCUAGUGGCCCGAUGGGGAAAGGCAUGCGCAGCCCGGGGCUAAACUGGCCGGUCAAGGAAACAUGAGUUGCUGCGGAUGACGGGGUGUGUGGUCACCUGGAGACUCAGCAGCACCACGCGGCAGAAACCCAAACAGGCCAAGACGUGAAGGUCAUCCCUUGGACACACUCCAGACCUCAGAUUUGGGGUUUCACUCACCCAUUCGUUUGUUCAUUCAUUCCACAAAUAUCUAUGGGGUGGCUACUGUGAGGGGUGGGGUGUGGAGACACAACGGUGAUCAGGACAGGCAAGUCUACCCGGUCACGGAGUGUUUAUUCUCGCGCGUGGGGUGUUUGUUGGGCGUGGGUGGGGGUCUUCUCAACCCUCCCCUUGCCUCAGAGUCAAAAUUCAGCAGACACCAACCAGGCACCUAAUUCAUGCCAGGAUCUCUGAAAUCUGUUCCUUUGUGAAAAGGUCUCAGCAAUUAAAUGACACAAUAUAAUAGAAGGAGCUCUGAGCAGAUAGUCAGUUGGACUGGGUUUGGAUCCUGGUUCCUCCACUUACUAGCCGUGUGACCUUGGACCCAUCGUGUGAACACCCAGCAGGGCCUGUUACUGUCCAGCAGUGUGCCGGGAGCUCGUGAACCAGCGAUGGACUGGAGCACACUGUCCUCGGGCUCUCCAGGAGUGAUGUGGGCACAGGAACAUCCACCUGAGCUGUGGCCACACAUGCUGAUGUGCCUUUCAUCUGGCGUGUGGAAGGAGCGGUCAGACUCUUGCUGCUUUAUCAUUAAAAGGAGGAAAUCAACUGAUGAAAAUGAAUUUCAUACAAUUUAUUCAGCUUCACUGUGUGCCAGUGUUUCAGUUAUCUGUUGCUGUGUAACAAACCAGCCCAAAAUUUAGGAGCUUAAGACAACAGUUUUUUAUUUCUCAUGAUUUCUGUGGCUUGACUGGGCUCCAGUGGGUGGGCAGCUUUUCUGCUGGGGCUGGAAUGUCCAAAAUGGCUUCUUCACACACACGUCUGGCACCUCCUCUGGGAUGGCGGGACCAGUUUUUGGGGAGAGGAGUGCUGACCAGGUGUCUCUCUGCAAAAGGUGUCUCCAACAGGGCACCUAGUUCUCUUCUAGGGUGGCUCAGGGCUCCAAGAGCUCCAAGAGUCUAUGAAAGGCUAAGCCCCAACACGCAAGCACUUAUCGAAACUCUGGUCACAUUGCUUUUGACAAAGGAAGUCACAUGGCCAAGCGCAGGGUCAAUGCAGCAGGGAACCGCAUGAGGGUGUGAAUUACGAGAGGCGUGUUCACUGGGACCUCCCGUGUAAGUGUCUUCAACAGCCAGCCAGGGUCCUGACGUGAGGAGCCCUUGCUAACGCUGUGUGGCUGUGUCCCCAGUAGAUUUGGGAAUCAGGAUGCUUGUUGCUGCUGCUCUCCUACCCAGGAAUGACUUUUAAUUGGGAAAUUCUAACGCUCCUGUAGCCUGGCGUGGCAGGGGAUGAUAGACAAGAGGUCUAUGAAGUCUUUCUUGGUCUUGAGUACAGGCUCUAAAGGCUGACCAAACACCCCUCCCCGCCAGCUUGAGGACUGGCGACUCCUCAGUAGUUCUCUGCUUCAUUUCUCUGAGUGGGAGCCAUCCCAGCAGAGGCUGUCCGCACAUACAAGGAGCACCGUAAACUUCCGCCGUUAUUUCUCCUUUCCUACAUGUCAUCGGUGAGAGAACGAUGGCGUCGCAGGAGUAAAGCAUAAUGGCGCUAGGGUGUGAUGGUGAACACAUCGAAUUUUGGAGCUGGGCUCCAGAUACAAGGUCCAAAAAACAAUUUCCAGCUGUCAAGUCUUGGCUGUUUGUUCCAUUUUUAUCUCCAGCAUAGAGGUUUGGGUCAAUCAUACUCCUCAGGUCAUUAAACUGGUCUGUCCUCUUUUAUUAUUUAUGUGUGUAUGUAUUUAUUUAUUCAUUCUCUUUGAUUGCCAUCCCCACGCCUCACCCCCACUGGCAAGCAGUCCGCUGUACUUCAUGUCUAUCCUCCUGUUUGCAUGCAUUCUUCUGAGCAGUGCAUUCCUCUCUUGUGCACAUACAUGUUUAAUGUACAUAAAUGGGGUUUGGUUAUAAAUCUAAUUUUGCGUUUUACUUUUUUCCUAGUAUGUGGUCUUUAGGUCCAUCCGUGUCGCUCCAUAUUCUUCUCGAUUGCUGUUCCGUGCGGGCCCUCCCCCAGCGCCUUUCUCCGUUCUGCUGUUUUACGGGGCCUUCUCCCAGGGGUGGGCUCCUGCAUUGCCUCAGCUCCCGCCCCACAAAUAUCACAGCUGGGGGCCUCCUCAGCAGACUUUGUGAGAAUUUCUUUGGGCUGUCUGUGCAGGAGCAGAAGUGAUGGUGUGCGGGGGAUGUGUGUAACACAGCGACUUGGUAGUGUUUUUCUCACCUCACCAGCCACCGUGGCUCUCCUCCCAGGGACAGUGCCCCAGGGCAGACCCUGACUUCCCAGGCCAGCCCAGCGUUAGCCGUAGGUAGAAGAUGCAGACACAGCCCCUGCUCGCCAAGUUCCUGUGACAUAUUCCUCCCUGCAUCCCUGGGACAGGGCCUCUGUGGACUUGGGUUUUCUGACCACCCUCACGCGGUCUGACUGAGCCCCUGGAGCCCCAGGCCACAUCUCCCCUCCUUGGCCCCUGUGCCCCGUCCACCUGCCCUCCUCAGCUAUGUGUCAACAAGUCCAUGUCAUGGCAAAUGCACCAAAACUAUUGGGAAGUGGAUCUUCUCACAGACAGGAGCUUGAUGAAGAUGAGGAUCCGACCUGCCCUGGUUACACGGCGCCCUCAGGUGAGCCAGGCCGAGAUCACCUGUUUUAGACACUUCCCUUCACGGGAAAAGAUGCUGAAACCCAGAAAAAUGAUCUCAAGACUGGGUAAUGGGUAAUGAGAGGCAAAGUCGAGGCCGGAACCCAGGAGCCUGGUCGUCCAGUCCCAGCCCCCCUCCCUCCACACCACUGCCUAGUUCCUCCUCCACUGUGGGGACCCCAGACCCACAGACAGCCCCCCCACUCUGUCCCAUGAGGUUGAACCCCUUCCUUUCCCGGCUCAGUCUUAAGAAAGAUGCAGAAAUACUAAACUGGCUUUGUUGGUGGCUCCCCUUCCCUUUCCAAUUCAAUCAAAUCAAACAAGAAUAAAUAAAAUAGAGAAGGAGGAGAGAAUAGCAAUCAGAACUGUUUCUCAAUAGUGAAAAGUCAGCAGUGGAAUGAGGGAAUAAUGUCCUGUAAGAAUUCUAGGCCAGUGGGUGUUUCCCCUGCUUUCCAGAUGGAGAAACAGAAUCAGAGAAGCACCAAGGGGGGACAGGGAAGAAAUCUGGCCAUUCUUUAGCCAAUAGGUCUCAAACUGCCUGUCCGUAUGGUUCCAUGUUGUCCCGUCCAUAAGUCACCAAAGUGGGUUUGGAUUCUUUGUCUCCUCCUUGUGGCUCAAAGCAUCAUUCUUAAUACCCUCAUAUUAUGCCUUUAUUCUUUCGUCCAACGUUCCCUGAGGCUCAUAAUAAUAGUGGUAGCUCCAGAAACAUUCAAAUAACGUGUAUACAACACUGUCAAAGUGACAAAGUCGAACAUAAAGAUUGAUGAGAAAUGUUAAAUGUUAAUUCUGGACAAGUGAUUACUUGGGUGGAACGACAGGAUUUGAAGAAGAGGGAGAGAGUUGUGCUAAUAAAGAAACAAGGAUUUCAUUGGACCAGUUGAAGGUCCUUCUCCCUGGACGGCCUCCUGCUCCACGUGGCAGCAUGCUGGGGCGCCCCAGAACCUUCCCUCAUGAGUUCCAACAGGCUGGGGGAGAAGGGCCCCCCACAGCUGCCAGCUGACUUGGUUACCCACUCAAUGGGAGAAGUGUCAGAGAGGGUGAGUGCUUUCUUUGUGCCAGUUUUGUGAACGGUCCAAAGAACCCUUUGAAGGGAAUAUGACACAUACACACCCAGGAGUCUGUCUGCUUCUGUUCCCAGGGCUGUGCCAGGAACCGACAGCAUCCCCGGUCCUGCAAGUCCAGCACUUGGCAGCUCCCAGCCCACCCCGUGCUUUGAGCUCAGGGAACGUUUUCUUAUUUUUGAAUUCACAUACUAUAAAAUUCACCCUUUUAAAAAUGUGCAAUUCAGUAGUUUUUAGCUUAUUCAUAGAGUUACAUGACCAUCGUCACAAUCCAAUUCCAGAAAAAUUUUCAUUGCCUCAAAAAGAAACCUCACGCCCAUUAGCAGUCACUCUCAAUUUCCUCCCUUCUUCUGCCCCCAGCCCCUGGCAGCCACUGAUGCGUCUACCUGUGCUGGGCACUCAUGUGAACGGGUCAGACAACAUGUGGCCUUUUGUGACUGUCUUUUUUUACUUAGCAUAAUGUUUUCAGGGUUCGUCUGUGUUGUAGGAUGAAUGAAUACUUCAUUUUUAUAGCUGAAUAAUAUUCCACUGUGUGGAUGUGGCACGUUUUAUUUAUCCGUGCAUCAGUUGAUACAGUCAGGGUGGAGGUUAGUACUAAUCUGAGCCGAACUUGAAACCUAAAAACAGUCUGCAGCUUUUUCCAUUUCCUGAUCGGGUGGCUGAUGUGACAAAAUUAGAGAUUUAGGACGAUGACCGGGCGCACCUGUGCAGAUAAGAUCUGCUGUGAGGCAGAAAGAGGGGGCGAUGGAAUUGGGAGCUUCCUUCUCCUAAAGAGGAGGAAAAGUCAAGGUCACCUAGGGAAUCUUUGUGCCAGAAGCAAACCUGAACUCCCUCUGUCUCCAGCUCUGACCAUAAAGCCAUAAAGCCACAGGUUUAACCGCAAGGCUUAUUCUGGGGGUGACAGCCCCGCGGUGGUUUCAGCUUUGUCUCAUAUUUCUCCUGGAGCUCCAUUGCACACCAGCCUGCCACACGCCUUCCUGGAAUGCACGUGACUGAUAACGGCCUCUUGCACCAUUAUCUGCCAAACCCUGUUAAUGAAAUGAGUGAUUUAGUUAUCCUUGUUAGCAAUGGCCCCCACUGUACAACGACCGUGAGUGCAUGCGCAAGGCUGGCAGGGAUGCCCUCCUGGGGCACCUGUGAGCCAUCCUUACCAUGAGCUCUGUCGGCUCAGCUGGAUUGGGAGAGGGGGGCUGCCCAAGGUCAUGCGGGUGCAGCCUGUGCCCUGCACACCCCACGAUGCAUCAGAGCUGGGAGCAUCUGGGGAAACAAGAAACGAGGCCAGAGCACGGCUCCAUUUGCCAACUCUGACCUGCAAAGCUGGAUGCUGCCUUCUCUCAGCACAAGGAAGGGACACACUGAAGGAUCAUGGUGACACGUGAGGGUCACUCAGGCCCAGGCAGACCAUUUGUCUGUGGUGUUGGGUUUCUGGGCUGGUGCCUCCUCUCUCUUCCAGUGGUGGCUGUCCAGCCCUGAGUCCCUAUUUCCUCUGGUCCAGUCUUCUUGCAUUUCUCACACUCGCUGUUUCUCAAGGAAAGCAGGGAGGAUGGGAGAAAGAAGAUAGAAAGGGGUGUGGUUGGGGCAGGUAGGGCUGAUCAAGGCCAGUACAGGCAGAGAUAUGGAAAGUUACUUGGAGCACAUCAUGUUCAGUGCACACACGUGUGGACACCUGCACACACACGCAUGUACACAUUUUCUCCUCAUCUUGUCUUCAGGAAUGUUCUAUUCAGGAGUGAGGUCCUCAGGUUCGGAACUAGUUGCCCAGAGUUGCGACUGAGAAAUGUGCCUCAGCGUAAAGGGACAAGACUCACGUAUUGUUAAGGGGCUGUUGUGAAACGAGCAGAACCAAGUGGUCAGCCCCCUGUUCACCAGGGAGCCAGGUGUCGGACGCGUGCAGGUGACAGUGGGUGUACACUGGCCUGACUCCGGCCCCCACUUAAUCCUCAGCUGUGUCUGACAGAGGCUCUAGAAAUGCUUGCAGAUGUAGAGAUUGAUUUUGACAGCCCCCUGAAUGCUCCUCUCUAAAAACUUUGAGGCAGCUUACAGCACUAAUAAUGAAACAGAAGGGUGAACUAAUUUCUGUGAGAGCAGCAUAGUGUGUGCAGAGCAGAAUGAAAUCGAGGGAGGAUCAGUGCCUGCCGGGCUCUCCCUUGGGGCUGGAGUAGCUGCACACCAGACCCUGAGGGGUACAGCCCUUCCCACUCCCCAGAGGGGAAAGGGAUGCCUGGGUCCUGGGAAGGAGGUGACGAGGUGCCUUUGAUAGCACCCUGCAGGGGAGAAGGAAAAGUCCUGGACCUGCUUCUCGGGGGUCCCUCCCAGAAGAUGGGGCAAUGCCAGCACGACCAUCAGUGUAAGAUCCAGACCAAGUACUGUGGCCUGUCAUCCAGCUUGAGCUGGGGAGAGAAUUCCGUUAUCUACUGCAGUCAUUUUCAAAGUUCUGUAAAAGGCAGUGGUGCUCUUCUCUUCCCGUAAAAUCUUGUGCAAGCUCCCCUGAGGGGCAGGGGGAAGAGAGAGAAGGAGGAGGAGGCAGGGAGGGAGGGGGAGAGAGAGAGAGAAAGGAGAGAACCUUCCUCCGUUCAAAUGACAGUGGGACCUGGCCAUUUCCCCGUGGCCUCUCUCUCUCCACACACAUGCGGCUGAGCACCUCUGCUCUGAAUCCCAAGGGUUGGAAAAGCCCCAUCUGAUCUAAGAGAACGGAUCCAUACCAGGAGGGAAAGAGGGCGGGAAGGGGAGAGGGAGAGAGGAAGAAAGAGGG